UAACAGCACCCCGAGUGGUCGGGACGAUUAUUGGGCCUAAAGCAUCCGUAGCCGGUUUUACAAGUCCCCCGUUAAAUCCAGCUGCUUAACAGAUGGGCUGCGGAGGAUACUAUAAGACUAGGAGGCAGGAGAGGCAAGCGGUACUCAGUGGGUAGGGGUAAAAUCCGUUGAUCCAUUGAAGACCACCAGUGGCGAAGGCGGCUUGCCAGAAUGCGCUCGACGGUGAGGGAUGAAAGCUGGGGGAGCAAACCGG
rnacentral:rRNA from 1 species